ACGGAGGGUGCAAGCGUUAAUCGGAAUUACUGGGCGUAAAGCGCGCGUAGGCGGUUGGUUAAGUCAGCUGUGAAAGCCCUGGGCUCAACCUGGGAACUGCAGUUGAUACUGGCUGACUAGAGUACGAGAGAGGGAGGUAGAAUUCCACGUGUAGCGGUGAAAUGCGUAGAUAUGUGGAGGAAUACCGGUGGCGAAGGCGACCUCCUGGCUCGAUACUGACGCUGAGGUGCGAAAGCGUGGGGAGCAAACAGG
rnacentral:rRNA from 1 species